GAUGAAGAACGUAGCGAAAUGCGAUACGUAAUGUGAAUUGCAGAAUUCAGUGAAUCAUCGAGACUUUGAACGCACAUUGCGCCCCCUGGUAUUCCGGGGGGCAUGCCUGUCCGAGCGUCAUUGCUGCCCUCAAGCACGGCUUGUGUGUUGGGCCUCCGUCCUCCUCCCGGGGGACGGGCCCGAAAGGCAGCGGCGGCACCGCGUCCGGUCCUCGAGCGUAUGGGGCUUCGUCACCCGCUCUUGUAGGCCCGGCCGGCGCUUGCCGACACAUCAAUCUUUUUUCCAGGUUGACCUCGGAUCAGGUAGGGAUACCCGCUGAACUUAAGCAUAUCAUAAGCGGAGGA
rnacentral:misc_RNA from 1 species